CAGAACUUCCAGUACUAUGUUGAAUAGGAGUGGUGAGAGAGUGUAUCCUUGUCUUGUGCCAGUUUUCAAAGGGAAUGCUUCCAGAUUUCGCCCAUUCAGUAUGAUAUUGGCUGUGGGUUUUUCAUAUAUAGCUCUUCUUAUUUUGAGAUAUGUCCCACCAAUACCUAGUUCAUGGAGAGUUUUUAACAUGAGGGGAUGUUGAAUUUUAUCAAAGGCCUUUUCUGUGCCUAUUGAGAUAAUCAUGUGGUUUUUGUCAUUAGUUCUGUUUAUGUGAUGGAUUACAUUUAUUGAUUUGUGUAUGUUGGACCAGCCCUGCAUCUCACAGAUGAAGCUGACUUGAUCAUGAUGACUGCCUUUUCACUUAACUGUGUCCUCAUAUGGAAGAGAGGAGAAAAGAGGAGAGGAGGGGAGAGUUUUCUUCUUCAUGCACAGACAGGCACCAAUUUGAAGCUUAAUGACAGCAGAAACAGAGAACAACUACUGAGAUAAUCACCCACUCUGCUCCUGAAAGAAAACAACAACAAAACAACAACACUGGAAAACCACAAAAUAUAACUUGCUUUGCAUAGAAUUUGAAUUUAUUUUUCCAUUCUAUAUUUUAAAUUUAUUGCAACAGCUUGUAAUGCCUAACAAGGACAUCUUUUGUAAAAUUUCAAUGAGUUAGGAAGUUUUUCUUUGUUGCUUUUAGUAUGCAAAUUGCCAAAUUUAAUGUCAGAAAAUUAAAAACCUGCAUCAAAACCAGAAAAUAAAACCAA
rnacentral:lncRNA from 1 species